UCUCACGUUAAACUACAAUCAAAGAAAUGAUAUUUCAAAUGAAGUACGCUGCUUUGGCAGUCAUGUUGAUUAUCGUUUUAGUCAACACCUUACCGACUGGUGCUCGAAGUGUUCCUGCUUCAGAGGAGAAUAUAGUUGGUUGUGGAGUUUGGGAUUCAUGUCCGUUUUAAAAUUGGAACCAAGCAGGGAAACGAACGUAACUGGCCAGAAGAAAAUUGAGGAUGGAGACGGUGUUUUAUUUUAAUUUAUUUCCUGAUAACAAACGUAUAGUAAAUUCUACUUUAAAUAGUGCAAAAAUUGAUAUUAAAUAACAGAAUAUGAAAUGAUAAAGAUCUAUGUUUUCGCAAAAUCAACCACAUAAAAAUGUUAUUUCAAUCUUUUUUGUGUAUUUUUUUGCGAUUGUCGAUGCUCGCAAAAGCUAGAAAAGAAUUCUACAAAAUGAAAAAUAAAUAAAUAUUAAUGAAUGAAAA